CCUUCCACAGAAUAUCUCCAUGAAAAGAUAUGGUGCCUUCUGCCUGUUUUGUCCCUCAUUCGCUCAGUAGUCAGUGUAGAUCCUGUCCCUUUCAAUCAGCAGCUACAUCUGGCUACUGGGUCUCUGAUGGCAUCUUAGAGCUUCUCUCCC
ensembl:miRNA sha-mir-222 sha-mir-222